rnacentral:rRNA from 1 species
AGUGAACGCUGGCGGUAGGCCUAACACAUGCAAGUCGAACGGCAGCACAGUAAGAUCUUGCUCUUACGGGUUGCGAGUGGCGUACGGGUGAGGAAUACAUCGUAAUCUACUGUUUCGGGGGGGAUAACGUAGGGAAACUUACGCUAAUACCGCAUACGACCUACGGUUGAAAGCAGGGGAUCUUCGGACCUUGCGCGAUUGAAUGAGCCGAUGUCGGGUUAGCUAGUGGGGGGGGGAUAGGCCCACCAAGGGGACGUUCCGAAGCUGGCCGGAGAGGAUGAUCAGCACCACUGGAACUGGGCAACGGUCCAGCCUCCUCGGGGAGCAGGAAGUGGGGAAUAUUGGCAAAUGGGGGAAAGCUUGCUCCAGCACUCCCGCGUGGGUGAAGAAGGCCUUCGGGUGGUAAAGCCCUUUUGUUGGGAAAGAAAAGCAGCAGGUUAAAAACUCGAUGUUCUGACGGUACCUAACGAGAAAGCAACGGCUAACUUCGUG